rnacentral:rRNA from 1 species
CCGGCGCACGGGUGAGUAACACGUAUCCAACCUGCCGAUAACUCCGGAAUAGCCUUUCGAAAGAAAGAUUAAUACAAGAUGGCAUCAUGAGUUCACAUGUUCACAUGAUUAAAGGUAUUCCGGUAGACGAUGGGGAUGCGUUCCAUUAGAUAGUAGGCGGGGUAACGGCCCACCUAGUCUUCGAUGGAUAGGGGUUCUGAGAGGAAGGUCCCCCACAUUGGAACUGAGACACGGUCCAA